GAGAACUCAACCCCUUCUUGCAAUCACAUUGUAAGCCCGAUACAUGCCGGGGCUGAAGGCCGCCAGAGGCAGCUGGUUGAUGUGAGGAAAUCGCCCACGGUAUCCACUGCAGCACUGGAAGCGGAGAGCUAAAGGUGCCUGGGAGAGGGCUGCAGGCAUGGACAGUAGGGCUGGACCCUUUGGGGGCCAGGAGCACUGUAGUAACCCAUCCUGCAUCUUGGGACGGCCUUGGAUUUGAAGUCCACAGAAAGAUAGCAUCAGAGGGGUGAGAGGAUUGACCAAGGAGAGAGGUGCAAAGGAGCCCCAGGGGCUGACUACCUAGAUCAGCCCAGUUUGACAGCUCUCUUCUCUUCUAUACACACAGAAUACAAAUACAGCCUCCUGCCCAUACAUACCCACAGACACCUACGCAGUCACACAUACACGUAAAGACAUGUGGACAGGUCAUCCUCAGCACCAAACAGAGGUAUACACAAACAUGUACACACUCACAGUCACUCACAUAUAUAUUCACAUGCACAAUCACACACGAUUACCCUCAUAUUCGUGUGCACGCACACACACAAACACUCAAAAAACAGCUAAAAAUAAAAAAGUGGCCACUGGGGUAUCUAAGAUCUCUUUUUGGAAACCUCUCACAGAAAGAUCCAGGUUGGGAGAAGAGAAAUGACCCCACAUCUGAGGCUCCCAUCAUGGCUAUUGGAAGACUUGCUUCCUGGAGAAAAGCAUUGGAUGAUUUAUUGGGAUAUGGGUUUCCAGAACCCUGGAGGGCCUUUGAGCCCUGUGGGAAAUGAGCGGUUUAUUUGAGGUGAUGUCAUACAGAGAGAUUGGAGCCAUGGGGACUGCAAAGUAGGUUUGAAGAUGUGUCUCACGGCAAUGCACGGGAAGGCUUCAAGCCCAGAAGAGAGGCAGAGAGGCCAGUUGUAAAUAUCUCUGUAGAUCCAUGUAGCUAGAUAAAAAUAUUUAUACCUUAAAAAGAACAUCUUGCCCUCAAGUGCUGCAAUGAAAACAGUUGAACUCAACUACAACUCACACUGUGUGAGGUUAUGUGUCAAGGUGAGGUGGAGGUUUGGCAAUGACACCUUUGCAGAAAUUUGAACCUUCUGAGUUUGUCAUGGACUGGGUCAUUUUAGCCUGAAAAUUGCCAGAUCUCCCCUUGUUGUGUUCCGUGUGUGUUCUGUCAUCAGCGUCAUUGUUGACCCUAUCCUCAGCCAGCUGCCUACAUCCCGCCCCACUCCUCACCUCACACCAAGUAACUCCGGAAGUGCGGAGCCUUUCUCAGCCCCAGCCAAUCAGAGGGUGCUUGGGGGCAGAAGGAAAGGUCUUGUUGAGUCUGGGAUGGAGCAACCCCCACUUCAGUUUUCUACCUAUCUUUCCUCUUCCUCACAUGGGCUAUCCCAUUAACUUUGCCCCUAGAAUUCCUUCACCACCACUACCUUAUUGUAAGGACGUGUGCCUUUACAGAGAGAACGGAUGAUCUGUUGGGUCUUACUGGAGCUUGUAAAAUGUAUUCUUACAAUCUGGGUCAUCUUGUUAAUAGCAAGGCUGUAAUGUCUUUGCAUAUUUAGAACUGAGCUUUGCUGAGACUGUGGCCAUUCCUAAUGAGGUUUCUUCUGUACAUUAAAGAACUAACCCUUUGAGCUAUUAACUAAUGAAUGCAUUUGCUAAGCUAUCAACCUGCAUGGUACCUUGCCAUGGUGUUGAGCAUCAAAAGAAAUCGUGACUUGUUCUAUUGAAAGUGCAGUGUGUUUGUGUUUGUUUUGUAGUGUCCUGUGAUCAGUAUGAAAUCUCUAUUAUCAGUGUUGGGUUUUCAGGGGAGGGGAGGGGGGGGGGUGUUACAGUGUCUCUCUGAUAUCUUUCAAUUAUAAAAUAGCCCCAGUUGGUCAGGGUCACCUCUGUUAAUUCAACGUGUGUGAGACUUUGCACCUACUCUAUCUUGCCGUACUGUAUCCCUGGGGUCAGGAGUCAUCAGCAGAACUGAAGGAGCCCGAGUGUAGUGAAACUGGCUGUGGUGCCUGACUUUGGGCAGUGCCAGAGAGUUCUUCAGAUAGGCAAGGCAGUGCCAUUCUGAAGCAGAUGAACUACAGUAAAACCACAAACAUGGAGGUCUUCAAGGAAACCAGGAGAGGAGGAGGACUGAGACCCAUGUGUCUUACUGGCCUGACCUGCAGAAGGGUACAGAACAGCAGAGAUCCCCCCGAAGACCCAAUUCCCUCUUUGUCCUCAUUAAAUGUACAUUUUUGCAUGAAAAAGACCUUGACCAGUCCAGACUUCAAAGAAGGAAAACAUGAAGAAACAAAAUUAUGCUUCUGAAAAGUAUGCUGAAAUAAAGGUUUGUAAAUAGUCAAAAGGAGAAAAUAAACAUGUAGUGGCAAUUAUA